rnacentral:ribozyme from 13 species
AAUUUUCAUUUGCAAAAGAGAAGAGAGGAAGAGAGAGAGAAACGACGACAAAAAAGAGCAACGAAAUGUUUUUGGCAAGAAAUAACAUUUUUCUUCGUUUUUCUCUCUCCCUCUCUUUUCUCUUUCUC